rnacentral:tRNA from 1 species
GCGGAAGUGGCUCAGCUGGUAGAGCAUCACCUUGCCAAGGUGAGGGUCGCGGGUUCGAGUCCCGUCUUCCGCUCCA